rnacentral:tRNA from 1 species
GCGGGAGUAGCUCAGUUGGUAGAGCGCAACCUUGCCAAGGUUGAGGUCGCGAGU